GGAAGUUAAAGACAAUCUACAUUUUUUCCCAGUAAACUGGGACUAGGUAAAGACUGCUUUUAUUUUGGUAGAUGAAAUGUCACAAUCCAGCAAAUAGCACACCAGCAUUUCGCAGGGGCAUAGAUUGCAAGCCACAGUAAGGAAAUGCUUGGCUUUCUAACUUUGAAUGAAAAACUCAGAGCUGAUAGGAAGGCUGAUUGUCCCCAGAUGCAUGGUUAAUAAUGUGCUUCUAACAGAGCGACAUGUUCAGUUUACUGGAAGGAUAAGAAUCUCACACAAAGAACAGAGCAUCCUAUGCAUACAAUAGUAUACCUUCAACGGGGUAAUGGAUUCUUCAUGUUACCCCACAUGCCAAGUCUGCAGGAUCCCAGACGCCAAGCCUACUGUGUAACAGCUGACCAUGCCACCAAUUUCUGUGGUGUUUAUGGUAUGUUCCAGCACAUCGCACAUAAGGUAUCACGUGACUAGCUGAACGUGAUUUUAAGGGAGUGAUCUCCGAACUUUUCAUCUGCCUUAAAGAUGAUACCUCUGUGCGAAAAACACUUUAAA